rnacentral:rRNA from 1 species
UACGAAGGGGGCUAGCGUUGUUCGGAGUUACUGGGCGUAAAGGGCGCGUAGGCGGCUUGCACAGUCAGGCGUGAAAUUCCUGGGCUCAACCUGGGGACUGCGCUUGAGACGUGUGGGCUUGAGUGGGGAAGAGGGUCGUGGAAUUCCCAGUGUAGAGGUGAAAUUCGUAGAUAUUGGGAAGAACACCGGUGGCGAAGGCGGCGACCUGGUCCUUGACUGACGCUGAGGCGCGAAAGCGUGGGGAGCAAACAGG